GACGAACGCUGGCGGCGUGCUUAACACAUGCAAGUCGAACGGAAAGGCCCUGCUUUUGUGGGGUGCUCGAGUGGCGAACGGGUGAGUAACACGUGAGUAACCUGCCCUUGACUUUGGGAUAACUUCAGGAAACUGGGGCUAAUACCGGAUAGGAGCUCCUGCUGCAUGGUGGGGGUUGGAAAGUUUCGGCGGUUGGGGAUGGACUCGCGGCUUAUCAGCUUGUUGGUGGGGUAGUGGCUUACCAAGGCUUUGACGGGUAGCCGGCCUGAGAGGGUGACCGGCCACAUUGGGACUGAGAGACGGCCCAGACGGCUACGGGAGGCAGCAGUGGGGAAUAUUGCACAAUGGGCGGAAGCCGGAUGCAGCAACGCCGCGUGCGGGAUGACGGCCUUCGGGGUGUAAACCGCUUUCGCCUGUGACGAAGCGUGAGUGACGGUAAUGGGUAAAGAAGCACCGGCUAACUACGUG
rnacentral:rRNA from 1 species